ACUGUGUGAUUUUUGUUCUUUAGUAGAAGGAUAACAUGACAUAGCAGGAAUAAUACUGCCUUUUCUUUCUGGCAUGGAUCAAGAGAAAAGAAAAUACAAGAAAACAGACAGAAGAUCCUAUCUGCGACAAUUAAGAGCACUCUAAGAGGAAAACACAUCCCACCACACAAGGCAAGGUACUUCUAUGGAAGGGUGAGCCCUCACAGAUGGAGCAAUGGGGCGCGCACACCUGAACAAGGGAGGGGAAGGAGUUCUUAUCCCUGAUGCAUGUGACCCCUGCUGCUGUGUCCUUCCCCUAUUGGCUAAGGUUAGACCACACAGCCUAAACUAAUUCCGAUUGGCUAAUUCAAAGAGAGCGACGGGGGCUUCUGACAGCUUUGGAGAUUGUGACAUUGGAAUAAAGGAAAAACGUACAGGACUCAUGAAGCGCUGAAAUGUUCACAAAUAUCAAGCAAAAGUCAAUGAAAUUUAUUUUGAGCUAUUUACAUCAUUUAAUAAUUGAGCAAGGUAUACUCCUAUGAACAAAAUUUGGAGCAUGUUUGUCUCUCUCUGCCUGGCGUCUUCAGAAUUUGGAAACUAGUUAGUCAUGGAAAUUUAUUUUGAGCUAUUUACAGCAUUUAAUAAUUGAGCAAGGUAUACUCCUAUGAACAAAAUUUGGAGCAUGUUUGUCUCUCUCUGUCUGCCUGGCAUCUACAGAAUUUGGAAACUAGUUUCGUUCCCAGAUUUCCUAAACUUUCCAGAGAAAAUGGUCUUCUCCCUGGCUCAGCAAGAAGAUGAACUUUAAACACUGAGAAACUGGUCAUCUCCCUGGCUCAACCAGAAGAUGAACUUUAAACACUACUCUCAAUGACUUGAUGUUCCCAUCACUACUCCUGUCAUAAAGGGAGGGGACUCAGAUAUUGAGAAUUUUAUGAUAGUGUGAACUGUCUGGUAUGUCAUUUAAGUAAGCCCGUUGCUGAAAUAUUUUCCAUGUUAUUAGAAAGAGCUGAAGAGAGGGAUUGAGAUGGCUUCUUUAUUUUUUGUCUUUUGGGAAUUAAAGGAACCUGGUUCAACAAGGGCCUACACCUAAGUCUCUUGUUGUACCAGAGUACAAUUUAGGACUGCUCCUGAGGAAGGAAUUAGCUAGAAAUCUAGAGAGUAAGGGUAACAGAUUUACAUAGAAUAACAGCCUCAGUAUUUUUGGUUCCUCUCCAGUAAAGAUCACAAAGAAUAUUGCUAAAUCGCUAAAACACCUUUGCAAUAACGUAAGGGCUUACAACUAUAUACCAAUGUAGCUCAGUUACUAAACUGGAGUAAACUAAUUUCUCUUGUGUAGAAAAAUUGGUUGGCUGUGGUUUUAUAGCAGAUCUGCAAUUAUUAAUAGUUAUGCCAAUAAUCGUUUAACAGUGCAUAUGUUAAUAUAUAUGGAAAGACAAUGUGUAUAGACAGAUGUGUAAAAUUGAAAAAUAAACAUAUAACAAGAGAGAAACAUCUAUCGAACAGACAAUAUACAUACACAUCAAACACAACAGCAGUUUUAGUGACCAUAAUAUUUAUUUCUCAUUUUUACAUUGCUUACUUUAGUGACAACUGAAAAUGACAGUUGGCAAUGCAGCUAACAGUUUCAAUAAAAGUAUAAAACAAAAGACUGUGUACAAAGCACCUGUCUUUCCGCUUUUGUAAUCUUCCGUUGGAAAAAAUUUACACACCUAAGUAACCAUCUGUUUUCUUCAAGAAAAAAUCAUUCUUAUUUCUCUCUCUCAUCUUGAAAACAGCUGUCAGCCAGGAGGGCAGAGCUGAAAUUUAUUGCCACAUCACAUGAAGCAUAGAACAGACUCCACUACUCCUUGAGAUUCAAAACUUUGCCUCUCACAAAGUUACCUUUUAUUUUCCUCUUGUUUGUCACUCAUCUCCCCUAGUGUGCUCUUUUUAUUUCUUUUACUAUUAAUAAUAAAAUCUGUGGAUGACUGU
rnacentral:lncRNA from 1 species